GAGAGGGUCUAUAACCUAUUAGCUAGUUGGCAAGAUAAAAGCCUACCAAGGCGUAGAUGGGUAGCCGGCCUGAGAGGGUGAACGGCCACAUGGGCACUGAGACACGGGCCCAACUCCUACGGGAGGCAGCAGUAAGGAAUAUUGGGCAAUGGGCGAAAGCCUGACCCAGCGACACCGCGUGGAUGAUGAAGGUCUUCGGGUUGUAAAAUCCUAACACGCGUAGAGAAGGGUACAUCAAAUAAUACAUGGUGUAAUCGGACAAAGGCGCGAGAUGAAGUCAUUGCUAACUCUGUGCCAGCAGCAGCGGUAAUACAGAGAUGGCGACCGUUGUUCGGAAUCACUGGGCUUAAAGGGCAUGUAGGCGGAGAGAAAAGUUGAAAGUGAAAGCCCAUGGCUUACCCAUGGAAUAGCUAUCAAAACUAUCUCUCUUGAGUGAGGUAGGGGGGAGUGGAACUCCUGGUGGAGCGGUGAAAUGCGUUGAUAUCAGGAGGAACGCCGGAGGCGAAAGCGACUCUCUGGACCUCAACUGACGCUGAGGUGCGAAAGCUGGGGGAGCAAACGGGAUUAGAUACCCCGGUAGUCCCAGCUGUAAACGAUGAGUACUAGGUAGGGGAGGAAACUUCUCUGCUGAACAAAAGCAUUAA
rnacentral:rRNA from 1 species